CAGUCGCCACGGGAAUACGGAGGGUGCAAGCGUUAAUCGGAAUUACUGGGCGUAAAGCGCACGCAGGCGGUUUGUUAAGUCAGAUGUGAAAUCCCCGGGCUCAACCUGGGAACUGCAUUUGAAACUGGCAAGCUAGAGUCUCGUAGAGGGGGGUAGAAUUCCAGGUGUAGCGGUGAAAUGCGUAGAGAUCUGGAGGAAUACCGGUGGCGAAGGCGGCCCCCUGGACGAAGACUGACGCUCAGGUGCGAAAGCGUGGGGAGCAAACAGGAUUAGAUACCCGCGUAGUCCCUGUCUCUUAUAU
rnacentral:rRNA from 1 species